GGCUAAAACUCAUACAGCUCGCUCCAAGCACCCUGCCACUCGGGCGGCGCGGAGUUAACUCAGUAGAGCUGGCUAAGCAUGUAGAACCGAUAGCGGAGAGCUGGCGGACGGGGGUUCAAAUCCCCCCCGGCUCCACCA
rnacentral:tmRNA from 1 species